rnacentral:rRNA from 1 species
UCUAAGUAUAAACGAUUUAAUCGUGAAACCGCGAAUGGCUCAUUAUAACAGCUAUAAUUUACUUGAUCUUGACACAAUCCUACUUGGAUAACUGUGGUAAUUCUAGAGCUAAUACAUGCAUUAAAGCUCUGACCUCACGGGAAGAGUGCAUUUAUUAGAACAAAACCAAGCGGCUUCGGCUGUUUCUGGUUGACUCAUAGUAACUGAGCUGAUCGCAUGGUCUUGCACCGGCGACGUGUCUUUCAAGUAUCUGCCGUAUCAACUUUCGAUGGUAGUGUAUCUGACUACCAUGGUGAUCACGCGUAACGGAGAAUAAGGGUUCGGCUCCGGAGAGUUCGCCUGAGAAAUCGCGAACACAUCUAAGGAAGGCAGCAGGCGCGUAAAUUACCCAAUCGUGACUCAGGGAGGUAGUGACAAGAAAUAACCGCCUGGGGGCCCUCGCGGCCUUACGGGACGGCAAUGAGCACAAUUCAAACCCCUUAGCGAGGAACAAUUGGAGGGCAAGUCUGGUGCCAG